ACACUUACCUGGUGGGGUCACACCAUGAGCAUGAAGGAUGUUCACCCAGGUCAAGGCUGAUCCUUGCGAAUUCCCCAAAUGUGGAAAUCUUGACUGCAUAAUUUUGCAGUCAUAGGCUGGAGAUCAGGGAACCAGCUAUGU
ensembl:snRNA U1 U1 spliceosomal RNA